rnacentral:rRNA from 1 species
UACGGGGGGGGCAAGCGUUGUUCGGAAUUACUGGGCGUAAAGGGCUCGUAGGCGGCCAACUAAGUCAGACGUGAAAUCCCCAGGCUCAACCUGGGAACUGCGUCUGAUACUGGAUGGCUUGAAUUCGGGAGAGGGAUGCAGAAUUCCAGGUGUAGCGGUGAAAUGCAUAGAUAUCUGGAGGAAUACCGGUGGCGAAGGCGGCAUCCUGGACCGACAUUGACGCUGAGGAGCGAAAGCUAGGGGAGCAAACGGG